CUCAGAGCAAGCCCAGGCACUAAUUUUCGCCGGCAAACCAAAAUGAGGCAAUGUAAGACAGAUAUUUGUAGUGCCUGAAGACUCAGAACUAGACUGAGGGCUCCACUGAAUCUAAAGAACAGUGGCUGGAGAAAAGAAAAGCGGCUGUACAAAUGAGGCACAACCUACAUUGAUCUUUGAGAAUACAAAGAGGAGGACUUCAAACAAGAACCACGUUUUCAGAUGAAUAACGCUCAACAAUGUCACUGAAUAUGGAUGGUAAAAUGCACCACCCUUUGCCUACCUCCCUUGUUUCCAAGUUGGAAAGAAAAACAAAAUUAAAGCUCUGCUUUAUGGUGCAUGCAAAUCUCCAGCUAAACGUGGAUUGCUAAAUUGGAUGUCAUGUCUGUGUCAACAGUGCAACAUGUCACAGAUACAGCUCUAUGUGAGUUCUGGCCAGUGCUGUGCAAGUGGACAAUGACGCAAACUCAGGUGAACAGAGGAAGGAAAGGAUAGAGUUUGAAGGGCUGAGGUGUGGAAAGCAAAAGAUUAAACUUUCAAACAACCUCGUCGCUGGACAGAGGGAUGAAGAUCUAACUGAGCUGAGUAUCUCAUGCUACAAACAAUUGCCAUCAUCAAGUGCAGCAAUAAACAAAUCAAAAAUUAAGUUUUUGUAGUCUUUUAAAAAAUGUGGCACGCCAUUGUAACACAAGAAGGGAUGCAGGCUUGAAGGUAAUUUUCAGUCUUGUUUGUUUUGGUUGGGAUUUUCAUGCUUAGAGCAGAGUUUAUGCGUAAAGGUCUUGCCAAAGCAGGACUUGUCACAGCGGCAGUCAUGCUUAUGUCCACAGACAACGGAAGGAUCAGAAUCGCAGCACAGAAUGCUCUUCCCUGGAUGUGACAGCAGCUGGCUAUAGGAUACGAGUUUAUAGACUCA